AUGGAAGGCCCAGUUCAGCUUCUCUGCCUGCUAGUGUUCUGGCUCCCAGAUACCAUGGAAGACAUUGUGAUGACUCAGUCCCCAACUUCCCUUUCUUUGUCUCUUGGUGAAAAAGCCUCCCUCACCUGCAGGUCCAGUCAGAAUGUUGGUAACACCUUAGCCUGGUAUCAGCAGAAACCUGGGCAGGCUCCCAAACCCCUCAUCUAUUACACAUCCUACAUGGCUGAUGGCAUCCCAGACAGAUUCAGUGGAAGUGGGUCUGGGACAGACUUCACUCUCACUAUCAGCAGCGUGGAAGCUGAAGAUUUUGGAACUUAUUACUGUCAACAGGGCAUUCAUGGCAUUUUGGACAUCAGUGGGAAUUUGUUAGAAAUACAAAGAGCAGCUUUCUCUGUAUACCUGUUGAAUAUAAAUAUGCACUUGGCAAGAUUCCAGUCCAUUUGUUUAAUUUAA